rnacentral:rRNA from 1 species
GAUGAACGCUAGCUACAGGCUUAACACAUGCAAGUCGAGGGGAAACGACAUCGAAAGCUUGCUUUUGAUGGGCGUCGACCGGCGCACGGGUGAGUAACGCGUAUCCAACCUGCCCACCACUUGGGGAUAACCUUGCGAAAGUAAGACUAAUACCCAAUGAUAUCUCUAGAAGACAUCUGAAAGAGAUUAAAGAUUUAUCGGUGAUGGAUGGGGAUGCGUCUGAUUAGCUUGUUGGCGGGGUAACGGCCCACCAAGGCGACGAUCAGUAGGGGUUCUGAGAGGAAGGUCCCCCCACAUUGGAACUGAGACACGGUCCAAACUCCUACGGGAGGCAGCAGUGAGGAAUAUUGGUCAAUGGGCGAGAGCCUGAACCAGCCAAGUAGCGUGCAGGACGACGGCCCUAUGGGUUGUAAACUGCUUUUAUAAGGGAAUAAAGUGAGUCUCGUGAGACUUUUUGCAUGUACCUUAUGAAUAAGGACCGGCUAAUUCCGUG